rnacentral:rRNA from 1 species
UACGUAGGCAGCAAGCGUUGUUCGGAAUUACUGGGCGUAAAGAGUGUGUAGGCGGUGCUCUAAGUUCGGUGUGAAAUCUCCUGGCUUAACUGGGAGGGUGCGCCGGAAACUGGAGUGCUCGAGCGUGGGAGAGGAAAGCGGAAUUCCUGGUGUAGCGGUGAAAUGCGUAGAUAUCAGGAGGAACACCUGCGGUGUAGACGGCUUUCUGGACCAUUGCUGACGCUGAGACACGAAAGCGUGGGUAGCAAACAGG